rnacentral:rRNA from 1 species
UACGGGAGGCAGCAGUGAGGAAUAUUGGUCAAUGGGCGCGAGCCUGAACCAGCCAAGUAGCGUGCAGGAUGACGGCCCUAUGGGUUGUAAACUGCUUUUAUGCGGGGAUAAAGUCGGCUACGUGUAGCCGUUUGUAGGUACCGCAUGAAUAAGGACCGGCUAAUUCCGUGCCAGCAGCCGCGGUAAU